rnacentral:rRNA from 1 species
GCUCAUCGCAUCCUGGGGCUGUAGCAGGUCCCAAGGGUUGGGCUGUUCGCCCAUUAAAGCGGUACGCGAGCUGGGUUCAGAACGUCGUGAGACAGUUCGGUCCCUAUCCGGCGCAGGCGAAGGAUAUCUGAGAGGAGCUGUCCUUAGUACGAGAGGACCGGGAUGGACGGACCGCUGGUGCACCUGCUGGCCUGCCAGGGCCAUAACAGGGUAGCCAAGUCCGGAAGGGAUAAACGCUGAAGGCAUCUAAGCGUGAAGCCCCCCUCAAGAUGAGAUAUCCCAAUACGUAAGACCCCUUGGAGAGUACGAGGUAGAUAGGCUUAAGGUGGAAGCACAGCAAUGUGUUGAGCUGAUAAGUACUAAUCGGUCGAGGGCUUAACCAAG